CUGUCCAGAGUGUAUUCCUGCCUCUCGCCCAAUGCAUGCUUGGAUAGGCUCCAGCACCACCUCCUGCUCAGGAUAAGCGGGUAUAGAUAAUGGAUGGAUUGAUGGAUGUAUUGGAAUAGCCAAAGCCUCAGAUCUUAGCAACAGUUUGUGUUGUAAUCUGGAAUCAUUUUUGUAAACAUAGUAGUUAUGUUUAUUUUAUAAGUGUAAUAUGCAAAAAUGAAUAUAAUUAUUGACACCUGAAUUUCAAUACAGUGGGGGCAAAGAAAUGAAAAUUACCCAGUCUUUUUGAAAAGGCACUACUGGUCCAGUCCAGACACAAAGCAAACGACUGUUUAUUUUCUUCAGACAAUUUUAUCUGAUAAAAUCUAAAACAUGUAUCACCUUCAGGAAGUGAGUCAGAUCUCUAACACAUUCUACUUUUAUAUUUAGUGUGAAGCAUUUUAUUUACAAUCAUAUUCAGCCACACUGCUCUGUCUGCAAGGCUGUUUAAUACUAAUGGCACAUUAGCAAACAACUGAGGCCAGAUCAGAAUUCUCUCCUGUGUAAAUAAUAAUCAAGACCUGUAUAUGUGUAUUUGGAUAAAUAUUUUCAAUCUGAUGCAGCCAUGCUCUUCAAUACCUUGUUGGUAAUCAUCCUCUCCGUGUCAGGUGCUCUGAGCGAGGAGGGAUGGGGAGUGACUUACACCCCUGAGAGAAUCUGUGCCUUAAAGGAGUCUUCAAUAGACAUGAGCUGCACUUACUCACAUCCCACAUCUCACAGAGUGCAGAAAACAUUCUGGUUUAUUCACUGGAACAAGCCACAGGAGCCUGAGGACCUGUCCCAGGACCCAGAGUACUCUCACCGUGUGGAGUACCUGGGGAAUCAGAACAGUGACUGCACUUUUAGAAUAAACCAACUGAGUUAAACUGAUUCAGGAACAUACCGAUUCCGGUUCCUCACUGACCUUGAUCCAUAUACUGGAGAACCUGGUGUCGUUUUGGAAGUCACUGGUCUACAGGUGAUGGUGAACCCUGGCACAGUUGCAGAGGGACAGAGUGUGAUACUGACCUGCUGGACCACCUGCACUCUGACUGGCAGCCCAGCCUUCAUCUGGUACAGGGACGGAUCUCCUCUGUCCUUCACUGAUCAGAGUCACCAGUUCAGAGCCAGCAGUGAAGAUGCAGGCAGAUACUCCUGUGCUGUAAAAGGCUAUGAGCUUCAUUCCCCUGCAGUGGCUCUUAAUGUGAGAUAUCCUGGAACAGUGGACAGUACUACUGUGAGGCACAGAACAGUCUUGGAGCUCAGAAUGCUACUGCUCUACAGGUCACAGUGCAA